UCCUCUUCCCUAUUGUCUUUCAGAGAAUGUAGUGGUUCCUGAAAUUUCUGUUCUGUCAGUGUUUCCUUUCAUAAUCCUAAAACAUUCCUAUGAGGAAUGACAAUGGAAGAAUGUGGGCAAGGGACAUCCUUGUCUGUGGCUGUGUGGGUGCAACAUGAUGCAGAAAACGAUCAGAAGACUACAAGCAGCAGUGAGAAGCAGAAAGAGGAGGCACUGAACACUUCUUGUCUUGAAACUGGGCACUGUCACUGCAAACAGCUGAGGUGGAGUACUGUCAGAGGAAGUUUAUGAGAUAUGUGAAAUGAUAGCAGAUCUGCAUCUGCAAGAAAGGCUGGAGUGAAAAAUGCCACAUGGACCUUUGUCAGCCUGGUUGGCUUUUGCUCAUUAAGAACAACUACUGAUUUCUCUUGGACAGCUGUGUAAUUGUGUGGUGGUAUAGGAAACAAUCAUUGUAUUUCACUUCUUUCAUCUGGUAAGUGGGAAUGAGUGCAUGGAAAUUGUUAAGUCAUGGCCUGAACCAAUGAUUGAGUACCUGGUCAAGGGACAUAGACUGUCCUGGUAGAACAGGUAAAAGCAAUUUCUGUAAUUCCUGUGCCAAGAUUCCACCCCUCCAUAAAAUUUCAUAGCACAGGAAAAUGUUGAACAUAAGUAGUGG
rnacentral:lncRNA from 1 species